AGUAAAGCUUUACCUUUGUUUGCUAAUGUCGAUCUAUUAUUAUUCCCAUUCGAAACUUUAUGAACUGGUUGCACAGGUUCAGGUUGGUUCAGCUCCGGAAUAGAAUGUUUUCGAAGAAGUUUUUCAAGAUUGGCUAUGUGUUUCUUAGUAGACGACUCAGGCUCAGUUGAAGUAACCGGCGGCUUCAGAGAUUGAGUCAUUGACGCAGAAGUGGGUUUCCUUGAAGGAUUCAACGGAGAUUGCCGGUAUCUGAAACCCUCAACAAGGUGGAGGUUCUGGGCGGGAAGACUUGCGCUGAUCUGCAUGGAUUUGACA
rnacentral:misc_RNA from 1 species